rnacentral:rRNA from 1 species
CCUACGGGUGGCAGCAGUGGGGAAUAUUGGGGAAUGGGCGCAAGCCUGACCCAGCAACGCCGCGUGAAGGAAGAAGGCUUUCGGGUUGUAAACUUCUUGUAAGAGGGAAGAGCAGAAGACGGUACCUCUGGAAUAAGCCACGGCUAACUACGUGCCAGCAGCCGCGGUAAUACGUAGGUGGCAAGCGUUGUCCGGAUUUACUGGGUGUAAAGGGCGUGUAGCCGGGCUGACAAGUCAGAUGUGAAAUCCCGUGGCUCGACCACGGAACUGCAUUUGAAACUGUCGGUCUUGAGUAUCGGAGAGGCAGGCGGAAUUCCUAGUGUAGCGGUGAAAUGCGUAGAUAUUAGGAGGCACACCAGUGGCGAAGGCGGCCUGCUGGACGACAACUGACGGUGAGGCGCGACCGCGUGGGGAGCAAACAGGAUUAGAUACCCGGGUAGUC